ensembl:lncRNA
GCCCAGGCUGCCUGAUGGGACUUCCAGCCCGGUUUUGGGGCCAGGGGAAUCAUGCCCCUUUCCCUUCUCCAUGCUGCUGCAGUUUCCAUGGCAACAGAGCAAGUCCCCGCUUCUGAUGCAAAAGCCCCGUAAACGCUCCACAGAGGAAACACAGCUGCUGAUGCCAAGCCCGCCAGGAUGGUGCGAGGAGAACACUCUUAAAGUUGCAGAAGUCACACCAGCCGUUCAGGCACAUUUGAAAGAAAAAAUAUGUUACUGUGAAGUACUGAAUUUCGGACCCCUUUGUUGAUCAUGAAAGGCUACUCCAUUUCUUCUGAGGGAUUCUUGCCCGCAGCAGUAGAUACAAUGGACAUCUGAAUUAAAUUCAGACGCAACUGACUGGCUGAACAACAGCAAUAUCUCAUCAUCUGUG